GCAUAUCCAAUAAGCGGAGGAAAAGAAACCAACAGGGAUUGCCUCAGUAACGGCGAAGUGAAGCGGCAAGAGCUCAAAUUUGAAAUCUGGUCCUUUCAGGGCCCGAGUUGUAAUUUGCAGAGGAUGCUUUGGGUGCGGCCGCGGCGUAAGUGCCCUGGAACGGGCUGUCGCAGAGGGUGAGAAUCCCGUCUUGAGUCGCCGGUUCGCGCCCGUGUAAAGCUCCUUCGACGAGUCGAGUUGUUUGGGAAUGCAGCUCUAAAUGGGUGGUAAAUUUCAUCUAAAGCUAAAUAUUGGCUGGAGACCGAUAGCGCACAAGUAGAGUGAUCGAAAGGUUAAAAGCACCUUGAAAAGGGAGUUAAAUAGCACGUGAAAUUGUUGAAAGGGAAGCGCUUGCAACCAGACUCGGCCGCAGAGGCUCAACGGGCACGUGUGCCCGUGCACUCCUCUGUGGUCGGGCCAGCAUCAGUUCUGGCGACCGGUCAAAGGCCCCUGGAAUGUGUCGUCCUCCGGGACGUCUUAUAGCCAGGGGUGCAAUGCGGCCAGCCGGGACUGAGGAACGCGCUUCGGCACGGAUGCUGGCAUAAUGGUUGUAAGCGGCCCGUCUUGAAACACGGACCAAGGAGUCUAACAUCCACGCGAGUGUUCGGGUGUCAAACCCGUGCGCGCAGUGAAAGCGAACGGAGGUGGGAUCCCCGCAAGGGGCGCACCAUCGACCGAUCCUGAAGUCUUCGGAUGGAUUUGAGUAAGAGCGUGGCUGUUGGGACCCGAAAGAUGGUGAACUAUGCCUGAAUAGGGCGAAGCCAGAGGAACUCUGGUGGAGGCUCGCAGCGGUUCUGACGUGCAAAUCGAUCGUCAAAUUUGGGUAUAGGGGCGAAAGACUAAUCGAACCAUCUAGUAGCUUGGUUCCUGCCGAAG
rnacentral:rRNA from 2 species